rnacentral:rRNA from 1 species
GGUGAACGCUGGCGGCGUGCUUAAGACAUGCAAGUCGAACGGCAGUCUUCGGACUGUAGUGGCGCACGGGUGAGUAACGCGUAACUGACCUACCCCAAAGUCGCGGAUAACGAUUCGAAAGAAUCGCUAAUACGUGAUGUGCUGUCAGAUUGUGUUCUGCCAGUAAAGAUUGAUUGCUUUGGGAUGGGGUUGCGUUCCAUCAGCUAGUUGGUGGGGGUAAAGGCCCACCAAGGCGACGACGGAUAGCCGGCCUGAGAGGGUGGCCGGCCACAGGGGCACUGAGACACGGGUCCCACUCCUACGGGAGGCAGCAGUUAGGAAUCUUCCACAAUGGGCGAAAGCCUGAUGGAGCGACGCCGCGUGAGGGAUGAAGGUCUUCGGAUCGUACACCUCUGAAUCAGGGACGAAAGACACUUCGGUGGGAUGACGGUACCUGAGUAAUAGCACCGGCUAACUCCGUGCCAGCCGCCGCAGUAACAC